UACGAAGGGGGGCUAGCGUUGCUCGGAUUGACUGGGCGUAAAGGGCGCGUAGGCGGCUUGCACAGUCAGGCGUGAAAUUCCUGGGCUCAACCUGGGGACUGCGCUUGAGACGUGUGGGCUUGAGUGGGGAAGAGGGUCGUGGAAUUCCCAGUGUAGAGGUGAAAUUCGUAGAUAUUGGGAAGAACACCGGUGGCGAAGGCGGCGACCUGGUCCUUGACUGACGCUGAGGCGCGAAAGCGUGGGGAGCAAACAGG
rnacentral:rRNA from 1 species